rnacentral:rRNA from 1 species
GACGAACGCUGGCGGCGUGCCUAAUACAUGCCAGUAGAACGCUGAAGAGAGGAGCUUGCUCUUCUUGGAUGAGUUGCGAACGGGUGAGUAACGCGUAGGUAACCUGCCUUGUAGCGGGGGAUAACUAUUGGAAACGAUAGCUAAUACCGCAUAACAAUGGAUGACACAUGUCAUUUAUUUGAAAGGGGCAAUUGCUCCACUACAAGAUGGACCUGCGUUGUAUUAGCUAGUAGGUGAGGUAACGGCUCACCUAGGCGACGAUACAUAGCCGACCUGAGAGGGUGAUCGGCCACACUGGGACUGAGACACGGCCCAGACUCCUACGGGAGGCAGCAGUAGGGAAUCUUCGGCAAUGGGGGCAACCCUGACCGAGCAACGCCGCGUGAGUGAAGAAGGUUUUCGGAUCGUAAAGCUCGGUUGUAAGUCAAGAACGAGUGUGAGAGUGGAAAGUUCACACUGUGACGGUAGCUUACCAGAAAGGGGCGGCUAACUACGUG